rnacentral:sRNA from 1 species
UGCUAGCCCAGAUGGAAACGGCAUCCUAUUGUGCAGGUGUUCGGCACAAUAGAUAGAGUGGACAGCUGGAAAUUGC